rnacentral:rRNA from 1 species
CAGUCGCCGCGGUAAUACGGAGGGGGCUAGCGUUGUUCGGAAUUACUGGGCGUAAAGCGUACGUAGGCGGUUUUGUAAGUUAGAGGUGAAAGCCCGGAGCUCAACUCCGGAAUUGCCUUUAAGACUGCAUCGCUUGAACGUCGGAGAGGUGAGUGGAAUUCCGAGUGUAGAGGUGAAAUUCGUAGAUAUUCGGAAGAACACCAGUGGCGAAGGCGGCUCACUGGACGACUGUUGACGCUGAGGUACGAAAGCGUGGGGAGCAAACAGGAUUAGAUACCCCGGUAGUCCCUGUCUCUUAUAC